AGAGUUUGAUCCUGGCUCAGAUUGAACGCUGGCGGCAUGCCUUACACAUGCAAGUCGAACGGUAACGCGGGGCAACCUGGCGACGAGUGGCGAACGGGUGAGUAAUAUAUCGGAACGUGCCCAGUAGUGGGGGAUAGCCCGGCGAAAGCCGGAUUAAUACCGCAUACGACCUAUGGGUGAAAGCGGGGGAUCGCAAGACCUCGCGCUAUUGGAGCGGCCGAUAUCAGAUUAGCUUGUUGGUGGGGUAAAAGCCUACCAAGGCAACGAUCUGUAGCUGGUCUGAGAGGACGACCAGCCACACUGGGACUGAGACACGGCCCAGACUCCUACGGGAGGCAGCAGUGGGGAAUUUUGGACAAUGGGCGCAAGCCUGAUCCAGCCAUGCCGCGUGCGGGAAGAAGGCCUUCGGGUUGUAAACCGCUUUUGUCAGGGAAGAAACGGCCUUUUCUAAUACAGAGGGCUAAUGACGGUACCUGAAGAAUAAGCACCGGCUAACUACGUGCCAGCAGCCGCGGUAAU
rnacentral:rRNA from 1 species